rnacentral:rRNA from 1 species
UACGAAGGGAGCUAGCGUUGUUCGGAAUUACUGGGCGUAAAGCGAGUGUAGGUGGUUGUCCAAGUUGGAUGUGAAAGCCUUGAGCUCAACUCAAGAAAUGCAUUCAGGACUGGGUGACUAGAGGACCGGAGAGGAUAGUGGAAUUCCCAGUGUAGUGGUGAAAUACGUAGAGAUUGGGAAGAACACCAGUGGCGAAGGCGGCUAUCUGGACGGUUUCUGACACUAAGACUCGAAAGCGUGGGGAGCAAACAGG